UUAUAUCACGUUGAAACACUGGUUCUCAUAUGAUCACUGAAGUUAAGCUAAAUCGAGCCUGGUUAGUACGUAGAUGGGUGACCACUUGGGAAUACCAAGUACUGUAAG